CCUACGGGUGGCAGCAGUGGGGAAUAUUGGGUAAUGGGCGCAAGCCUGACCCAGCAACGCCGCUUGAAGGAAGAAGGCUUUCGGGUUGUAAACUUCUUUUGUCAGGGAAGAGUAGAAGACGGUACCUGACGAAUAAGCCACGGCUAAAUACGUGCCAGCAGCCGCGGUAAUACGUAGGUGGCAAGCGUUGUCCGGAUUUACUGGGUGUAAAGGGCGUGUAGCCGGGUUGACAAGUAAGAUGUGAAAUCCUGCGGCCUAACCGCAGAACUGCAUUUGAAACUGUUGAUCUUGAGUACUGGAGAGGCAGACGGAAUUCCUAGUGUAGCGGUGAAAUGCGUAGAUAUUAGGAGGAACACCAGUGGCGAAGGCGGCCUGCUGGACGACAACUGACGGUGAGGCGCGAAAGCGUGGGGAGCAAACAGGAUUAGAUACCCCUGUAGUC
rnacentral:rRNA from 1 species